rnacentral:snRNA from 1 species
UUCCUUUUGCAGCAAAUNUGUUAAGAUUGGAAUGAUACUGAGAAGAUUAGCAUGGCCCCUGUGUAAAGAUGACACACACAUUCAUGAAGCAUUCCAUAUUUUU